rnacentral:rRNA from 1 species
UACGUAGGGGGCAAGCGUUGUUCGGAAUUACUGGGCGUAAAGGGCGCGUAGGCGGCCAUCUAAGUCAGACGUGAAAUCCCCCGGCUUAACCUGGGAACUGCGUCUGAUACUGGACGGCUUGAGUAUGGGAGAGGGAUGUAGAAUUCCAGGUGUAGCGGUGAAAUGCGUAGAUAUCUGGAGGAAUACCGGUGGCGAAGGCGGCAUCCUGGACCAUUACUGACGCUGAGGCGCGAAAGCUAGGGGAGCAAACGGG